rnacentral:rRNA from 1 species
GACGGAGGGAGCAAGCGUUGUUCGGAUUUACUGGGCGUAAAGGGCGCGUAGGCGGCCACCGCAAGUCGGUUGUGAAAUCUCCGGGCUUAACCCGGAAAGGUCAAUCGAUACUGCGGGGCUAGAGUGCAGAAGGGGCAACUGGAAUUCUCGGUGUAGCGGUGAAAUGCGUAGAUAUCGAGAGGAACACCUGCGGCGAAGGCGGGUUGCUGGGCUGACACUGACGCUGAAGCGCGAAAGCUAGGGGAGCGAACGGG